CCUACGGGAGGCAGCAGUGAGGAAUAUUGGGCAAUGGACGAGAGCCUGAACCAGCAAAGUAGCGUGAAGGAUGAAUGCCCUCUGGUUUGUAAACUUCUUUUAUAAAGGAAUAAAACGAGGCACGUGUGCCGUUUUGCAUGCACUUUAUGACUAAGGAUCGGCUAACUCCGUGCCAGCAGCGGAGGUAAUACGGAGGAUUCGAGCGUUAUCCGGAUUUAUUGGGGGUAAAGGGAGCGUAGAGGGGAUGUUCAGUCAGUUGUGAAAGUCUGCGGCUCAACCGUGGAACUGCAAUUGAUACUGGCAUUCUUGAGUACAGUUGAGGUAGGCGGAAUUCGUGGUGUAGCGGUGAAAUGCUUAGAUAUAACGAAGAACCCCGAUUGCGAAGGCAGCUUACUAAACUGUAACUGACAGUGAGGCUCGAAAGUGUGGGUAUCAAACAGGAUUAGAUACCCGAGUAGUC
rnacentral:rRNA from 1 species